rnacentral:rRNA from 1 species
UGCGUAACAGCUCACUGGUCGAGGAGUUUGGCGCCGAUAAUGAUCGGGAAUAAGCAGAGAACCGAAGCUGCGGCUUACCACUUUGUGGUAGGGGUAGGAAAGCGUUCCUGUCAGCGUUGAAGGUGUCCCGGAAGGGUCAUUGGAGCGGCAGGAAGUGAAUAUGUCGGCUUGAGUAACGAGAAAGCAGGUGAAAAUCCUGCUCGCCGAAAACCUAAGGUUUCCUGGGGAAGGUAGAUCCGCCCAGGGUUAGUCGGAUCCUAAGGCGAGGCCGAAAGGCGUA